GGGCCCAUAGCUCAGCCAGGUUAGAGUGCUGGGCUCCAGAUAUCAGCAUUGGGUCUGUCGACCCGAAAGGGGAUGAAAUAUAUCUGGAAUGGAGAGACCCAGUGGUCCGGGGUCCGAAUCCCCGUGGGCCCA
rnacentral:tRNA from 1 species